AUGAGAGGUACCAUGGCCAUGAUCAAGUUCACAACGCCGACCGCGCAGGACCAGGCCAUGAAGAAAAUCAUUUACCGAGGUAGAUGCAUGGACGGACUCUACCCGUUGAUCCCUAAGUUUAAGAGACUCAAUAAACAAGUGCUCGGUGUCAUCAAACUUUCAUUGGAUAGAUGGCAUCACCGUUUUGGCCACCCUGCUUUUUCUAUCCUUCAUCAAGUACUUAGCAGAAAUAAGCUCCUAUCUGUCGGUCUGAACACAGAAGAAAAUCCAGCUCAAAACAGUGCCAAUUCGGUGCCAAACAGUGUCUUUGGGCGUCAUUUUAUGUGUUCUACUGCUGCCACAGAAAAUAGCACCGAACCUGCCUUGGGGACCUUGCUGCAGCAGACUGCAUCAAGAUCUGCCGCGGGAUCCGUGAAAGUUGUUGCGGCAGCCACACCAGGGCGAUCCUCUCUGGACUCCGCGCCACCAGAUGCCACCCGCAUCGCGUCCAACACCGCCUCCCCAUGCCAGCCAGCUGGGCCCACAGAUCGCGUGGAGGCCGCCUUCCCGCCCGCCUUGUGUGCGGCUCGUGCCUGGGUAGCCGACCACCCAAUUAGGAGUGGGCUGGAUGUCGGUCGCUCGGCCCUCUCACCUGGCCCAUCUGGGCGUGUGUCUCCUGGCACACAAGAUGUGACCAGCGAAUCGGCCUCCGGAUCGCCAGCCGCCUCACCAGCAGCACUUGCUGGAUCUUCUGUGGCUCCAUCAGCACCUGACUACCCUGUUGUUCCGCCUGGAUUUGAUCAUCCCUCUGCUCCUACUGCCAUCGUCACACCACCACGCACAUGGCUUCAGAGGGGAGUAAUCAAUCAUAUUAAUUACAAGAAUAUUUCCAAGUUUGGUCCUGCCUGUUUAUCUGGUGAACCUACUAACUUCCGUGAAGCCCUUGGUGAUGCUCGCUGGAAACAAGCAAUGGAGGAGGAAUAUUCUGCCCUGCAGAAAAAUAAGACCUGGCAUUUGGUUCUUCGUCAGGGAGGUAAAAACUUGAUCGAUUGCAAAUGGGUCUAUAGGACUAAGAGAAAAUCAGAUGACACGGUUGAUCGUUAUAAAGCAAGGCUCGUCACAAAGGGAUUUAAGCAAAGAUACGGGAUUGGUUAUGAGGACACUUUUAGUCCGGUUGUCAAAGCAGCAUCCAUUCGUCUUAUGUUAUCCAUUGUUGUUUCCAGGGGAUGGAGUCUCAGACAGCUAGAUGUGCAGAACGCGUUUCUUCAUGGUGUUCUGGAAGAGGAGGUGUAUAUGAAACAACCUACUGGGUUUGAGGAUAAAAAUGCACCAUUUCAUGUCUGUAAGCUUGACAAGGCCUUAUAUGGAUUAAAGCAAGCCCCCAGAGCAUGGUAUUCUCGGUUGAGUACAAAGAUGCAAACAUUAGGGUUUGUUCCAUCCAAGUCUGAUACAUCAUUGUUCAUUUACAACAAGUUCAAAACCUCCAUUUUUGUCCUUAUAUAUGUUGAUGAUAUCAUUGUCACUAGUUCAUCCAAUGAAGCAAUAACAAGGUUGUUAAAGGAUCUGAGUUCAGAGUUUGCUCUAAAGAAUCUAGGAGACUUGCAUUUCUUUUUAGGCAUUGAAGUUAAGAAAAUCAGAGAUGGCAUUUAG
rnacentral:rRNA from 1 species